GUCUACAGCCAUACCACCCUGAACAUGCCCAAUGUCACCUGAUCUUGGAAGCUAAGCACUGUUGGGGCUUGAUUAGUGUUGGGCC
rnacentral:rRNA from 1 species